rnacentral:rRNA from 1 species
AGGGUUCGAUUCUGGCUCAGGAUGAACGCUGGCGGCGUGCUUAACACAUGCAAGUCGAACGGGAUCCCAGGAGCUUGCUCCUGGGUGAGAGUGGCGAACGGGUGAGUAAUGCGUGACCGACCUGCCCCAUACACCGGAAUAGCUCCUGGAAACGGGUGGUAAUGCCGGAUGCUCCAGUUGGAUGCAUGUCCUUCUGGGAAAGAUUCAUCGGUAUGGGAUGGGGUCGCGUCCUAUCAGCUUGAUGGCGGGGUAACGGCCCACCAUGGCUUCGACGGGUAGCCGGCCUGAGAGGGCGACCGGCCACAUUGGGACUGAGAUACGGCCCAGACUCCUACGGGAGGCAGCAGUGGGGAAUAUUGGGCAAUGGGCGCAAGCCUGACCCAGCAACGCCGCGUGAAGGAAGAAGGCUUUCGGGUUGUAAACUUCUUUUAAGAGGGAAGAGCAGAAGACGGUACCUCUAGAAUAAGCCACGGCUAACUACGUGCCAGCAGCCGCGGUAAUACGUAGGUGGCAAGCGUUAUCCGGAAUUAUUGGGCGUAAAGAGGGAGCAGGCGGCAGCAAGGGUCUGUGGUGAAAGCCUGAAGCUUAACUUCAGUAAGCCAUAGAAACCAGGCAGCUAGAGUGCAGGAGAGGAUCGUGGAAUUCCAUGUGUAGCGGUGAAAUGCGUAGAUAUAUGGAGGAACACCAGUGGCGAAGGCGACGAUCUGGCCUGCAACUGACGCUCAGUCCCGAAAGCGUGGGGAGCAAAUAGGAUUAGAUACCCUAGUAGUCCACGCCGUAAACGAUGAGUACUAAGUGUUGGAUGUCAAAGUUCAGUGCUGCAGUUAACGCAAUAAGUACUCCGCCUGAGUAGUACGUUCGCAAGAAUGAAACUCAAAGGAAUUGACGGGGGCCCGCACAAGCGGUGGAGCAUGUGGUUUAA